AGCUGAUGCAGGUGGUGCCCAACUUCUCCCUGGUGCACCGCAGCAGCUGUUCCCCUCUGGAGGUUUUGAGAGACCUUCUAACUCAAAGGGCCCCGUUUUUACGGUGGCCCUCUUUU
rfam:Martelella mediterranea DSM 17316 strain MACL11, complete genome.